GUUGGCAGGUGUGUUUAUAUUUGGAUUUUGUUUAUUGCGUAUUAUUUUGGUUUGUUUAUACGCAGGCCCUGCGGGAGUUUGGUUAGUUUUGGAUGCCAACAAUACCCUUCAAUUCAGGCGCAGUGGGAAUUUUUUUGCUGGUGAUUCGCAGUUGUGUCAGUUAAGUUUAAUGGUUAAAUAAUUUGUUUUUUAUUGCGCAUUUGGUUUUAGUGUUAGCAGUUUCUGGAUCGCAUUUGUGUCAGAUUAGUCCCUCGCAGCCGUCUCAAUCGUAGCUUCAUCUUUCUCCGCAGUCCGGUCGUCUGGAGUCACAGGAAGAAAUCCGUCCAGGCAGGGUGCCCUUAGCUGACUUUGGGUAAGGAUGUUGCUGGAUUUAGUGGCACGUCUAACUGGACUGUGGAGGACCAGAAAGGAUGGUUAAAUCUCCCGCCACAGACGUCUUAGCUUGGACCAGAGAGGAAUCUGUUGGCUGAGACAGCUGUGUGUCUGUGUGGGAAGUGUCCCUCGCUGCUGUCUUGUCUCAAGAUCCUUAUAGGAUUCCUUCGCGUCAGUUGUCGGCGUCCUGAGGUAUUCGAGUACAUAGUAGCUACACGUACUGGAUGGCUUUUGUGUCA